rnacentral:rRNA from 1 species
UGCUUUAAGUUUGACAACAAUUGGCUUAAUAACCCAGAGUUUUUGCCUCUGGUUGCUGAAAUUUGGUCGAGACCUGUAUAUACCGAGGACCCUAUUGACACUCUGAACAUAAAACUGAAGAGAAUUAAAACAUUCUUUAAAGGGUGGGGCUCCAAUAUUUUUGGGCACAACAAGAUCAGAAGAAACAUCAUUAAGCUCGAACUGCAAGAGCUGGAAGGGCUUGAGGAGACUGUUAGGUUAUGUGGACAGGUCUAUACCAGAAAACUGGAAAUUUUGCUAGAGCUCAAUAACAUGUAUGUGGAGGAAGAGCUGUAUUGGCAUCAAUUCUCUACUCAGAGAUGGCUCCUGAAAGGAGAUAACAAUACUAAUUUUUUCCAUAAGGUAGCAAAUGGCCGCCGGAGGAAAAAUUCCAUGAUCUCACUGGAGUAUGGUGCGAUCAUUGUUGAAGGGACUAAGAAC